UACGGAGGGGGCUAGCGUUGUUCGGAAUUACUGGGCGUAAAGCGCGCGUAGGCGGAUUUGCAAGUCGGGGGUGAAAUCCCGAGGCUCAACCUCGGAACUGCCUUCGAUACUGCAAAUCUCGAGUCCGGAAGAGGUGAGUGGAAUUCCUAGUGUAGAGGUGAAAUUCGUAGAUAUUAGGAAGAACACCAGUGGCGAAGGCGGCUCACUGGUCCGGUACUGACGCUGAGGCGCGAAAGCGUGGGGAGCAAACAGG
rnacentral:rRNA from 1 species